CCUACGGGUGGCUGCAGUGGGGAAUAUUGCACAAUGGGCGAAAGCCUGAUGCAGCAACGCCGCGUGAGCGAUGAAGGCCUUCGGGUCGUAAAGCACUGUCCUCAAGGAAGAUAAUGACGGUAUUUGAGGAGGAAGCCCCGGCUAACUACGUGCCAGCAGCCACGGUAAUACGUAGGGGGCGAGCGUUAUCCGGAAUUACUGGGCGAAAAGGGUGCGUGGGUGGUUUCUUAAGUCAGAGGUGAAAGGCUACGGCUCAACCGUGAUAAGCCUUUGAAACUGGGAAACUUGAGUGCAGGAGAGGGGAGUGGAAUUCCUGGUGUAGCGGUGAAAUGCGUAGAGAUUAGGAGGAACACCAGUGGCGAAGGCGGCUCUCUGGACUGUAACUGACACUGAGGCGCGAAAGCGUGGGGAGCAAACAGGAUUAGAUACCCCGGUAGUC
rnacentral:rRNA from 1 species